GCUGGGAAACCUCAGUUGGUAGAGCAUGAAACUCUUAAUCUAAAGGUCGUGGGUUUGAGCCCCAUGUUGGGCA